rnacentral:pre_miRNA from 1 species
CGAAUUUUUGGAGCGUCGGUCUGCAGAGCAAUAUCACCCGCUCGGUGGAAGAUCUUCCCGUCGUCGU